GUGUGUGUGUGUGUGUGUGUGUGUGUGUGUGUGUGUACAUUGCACCAAGAUUGGGACAAGGAAGGAGGUAUGGGCUGGCGACCCCAGGGGCGCCCGCGGGCUUGAUCUCCUCCGUGGAGGUCUGCUCUUCCAACGCCAUGCCUGCCAGGUCGGAUGAGGCAGGGUGUGAACUUACCUGCUGCUUAGAGAACGAAGAGGAAGGCUUCGCAGGAGAUUUGGCCAGGACAACAGUACCAACCAGAGGGAUAUUGUGAGAACUAAAUGAGGUUAUAUUUUUCAAGCACUUAAAACAAGUGUUACCACCAGGGCAGCAAAGGUCUUGUCUACUGAGAGGAAACACGUGUUCAAGAUGGCACAAGGAGUUACUAGCAAAGCUGGGACUGACAUCAAGCUGUCCUCAGUCACCAGCAUCUUGAAGUUUUUUGGUUUUUUGGUUUGGUUUGGUUUGGUUUUGGCUCUGUAUGGAACUGAGAACCUGAGAGAAAUUUCUGAUGUUUUUUUCUUUUUCUUUUUAAAUUUGGGAACCCUUUCUGGGUACCUGCUGGUGCCUGCCUCACUGUGGUGGGGAGCACUCAGAGACCAAGGGCCAUUCUCAACACACCGUAUCAGGAUAGGCAAGAUGUUGAUAUGGAUUUCACCAUAGAGAACAGAUUCUACUCCCAAGGAUGACUGAGUAUUACUGCUCCACCAGAUGCCUUUAACCCAGAUCACCCAUAGGCAGAGCUCCAGCCCUAGGAGACCCAAGUUGAGAAGACUACAGGCUACUACCCUUUCCAACUAUCCCGGUCACAAAGCAAUGAGCACAAUCCCAAGAAAAAUGAAACAAUGCCUCAACACCCAACUAUAAAGAGUGACUCUCGGCUAGGCUAUUUUUCUGGCUCAGCAACAGGGGUAGACCUUUAAACAAAGGUCUCCAAAGCUCUUCCUAAAGAAGCUGGCUUUAUCUGAACAGACUGUAGUAACUCUCUCUCUAACAAGGCAUAUUCGGUGGUAAACAAUUAAGAAGCUGCUGAGAAAUCUGUUAAUUAAAAGCCACAGUCUAAACCACAAAUAAAUGACUUCACUGAGGAGAGCCAAGGAAAGAGACAAUGAUGACAAGCCCUCCUGAGAUCUGAACAAACCUCAAAUACUACAAGUUGGAAGAGUACCAAAUUUAAUUGGAUCUGACUGUUGAACAAUUGGUGCCCCAGGACACGUUCAAAAACAAUAAAGCAAGCCCUGCUCAGCAGGUGGCAAAGCCUAACAUCUGGGUGUGAUUGGCACAAAGGCACAUUUCAGUUUAACUAAAAGAUCAGGAACAGAGAAAGUCACUGAGAGCUCUGAGGAAGACACCACCAUCCCGAAGUGAUGGUGCUUGCACUGGAAGUUGUGAUCUCUGCAUAUCAAUAUGGAGACUUCACACUGAGGCAAACCCUGCCUCACCAUAAUAGUUUAAUUAAACCACAAAACAAGAAUGUAACAGCAAAAGGAAGCCUUGGAGAGGGAAGAUGGAAAUCAAUAUCUAGUUGAUGUAAUAUAUUACCUUACAUGCCCAAUCUUCAACAAAAAGAAUUAGGAGACAAGGAAAGAAACAGAAAAGAGAUGGCAAAGUGCAGAAGAGAAGGCAAGCACCUAGAAACCAUGA